rnacentral:tRNA from 1 species
GCACCGGUAGUUCAAUGGCUAGAAUUUUGGCCUUCCAAGCCAAAGAUCUGGGUUCGAAUCCCAGCCGGUGCA